rnacentral:lncRNA from 1 species
UCUAGACCCACAGGGCAAAGGUGAACCUCUGCCGAGCUGUUCAAAUUGCAUUGAAUUCCAAACUACAGGGUCCAAAGAGCAGACCCAAACAUGUUUCUGUGAAAAUGUGUUUUCAAACAACAUUCUCCAUUCCCACUGGCCCUCGGCCUACUUCCACUUUGGGGAUCUGGGCAGACUUCUAGAAGCAAACUUCUCACCAAUUACCAAGAGCAAAACAACUCCCAGAAGACAGGAGCUGGGGACGGGCCGAGGAAGGGACAAACCUCUCUUGCAGAGUCCCUGCUCUGUCUCUGGAAGUCCUGAGAACUGGCCUCACGUGGACCCCUCCCCAACUGGCCCCUGGUGUCCUCCCCUUCCCCUCCAGUCCCGCAGCCCCAGCAGCUGACACCAACCCCCCAAACACAGGUCCAGAAACCCCCACAGAGCAAGACAGGGCCACCAGCCUGAGGUCCCUGGGGCCCAGCCAUCCCCGGAUGUCAGUCACCACAGACAGAGCCAGGACUCUUUCCUGGAUGUGCAGGACCCUGUGUCCUGGGGCAUAGUCCUGGGUGUGACUGAGGGUGAGGAGGACAGGGAGGCCCUGCAGACCCUGUCCCUCGCCACACUGUUGGGGACCAAUUCAGAGGAAGAGUGGCAGCCAGGCUCUUCUGACGCUCUGCUCAUGGCUGGGGCUGUGUCCCCAGAUGAUCCCCCCCACACAGAACUGGCCCUUUC